rnacentral:rRNA from 1 species
ACGCUGGCGGCAGGCCUAACACAUGCAAGUCGAGCGGUAGCACAGAGAGCUUGCUCUCGGGUGACGAGCGGCGGACGGGUGAGUAAUGUCUGGGAAACUGCCUGAUGGAGGGGGAUAACUACUGGAAACGGUAGCUAAUACCGCAUAACGUCGCAAGACCAAAGUGGGGGACCUUCGGGCCUCAUGCCAUCAGAUGUGCCCAGAUGGGAUUAGCUAGUAGGUGGGGUAACGGCUCACCUAGGCGACGAUCCCUAGCUGGUCUGAGAGGAUGACCAGCCACACUGGAACUGAGACACGGUCCAGACUCCUACGGGAGGCAGCAGUGGGGAAUAUUGCACAAUGGGCGCAAGCCUGAUGCAGCCAUGCCGCGUGUGUGAAGAAGGCCUUCGGGUUGUAAAGCACUUUCAGCGGGGAGGAAGGCGUUAAGGUUAAUAACCUUGGCGAUUGACGUUACCCGCAGAAGAAGCACCGGCUAACUCCGUGCCAGCAGCCGCGGUAAUACGGAGGGUGCAAGCGUUAAUCGGAAUUACUGGGCGUAAAGCGCACGCAGGCGGUCUGUCAAGUCGGAUGUGAAAUCCCCGGGCUCAACCUGGGAACUGCAUUCGAAACUGGCAGGCUAGAGUCUUGUAGAGGGGGGUAGAAUUCCAGGUGUAGCGGUGAAAUGCGUAGAGAUCUGGAGGAAUACCGGUGGCGAAGGCGGCCCCCUGGACAAAGACUGACGCUCAGGUGCGAAAGCGUGGGGAGCAAACAGGAAUUAGAUACCUUGGUAGUUCACGCCGUAAACGAUGUCGAUUUGGAGGUUGUGCCCUUGAGGCGUGGCUUCCGGAGCUAACGCGUUAAAUCGACCGCCUGGGGAGUACGGCCGCAAGGUUAAAACUCAAAUGAAUUGACGGGGGCCCGCACAAGCGGUGGAGCAUGUGGUUUAAUUCGAUGCAACGCGAAGAACCUUACCUGGUCUUGACAUCCACAGAACUUUCCAGAGAUGGAUUGGUGCCUUCGGGAACUGUGAGACAGGUGCUGCAUGGCUGUCGUCAGCUCGUGUUGUGAAAUGUUGGGUUAAGUCCCGCAACGAGCGCAACCCUUAUCCUUUGUUGCCAGCGGUUCGGCCGGGAACUCAAAGGAGACUGCCAGUGAUAAACUGGAGGAAGGUGGGGAUGACGUCAAGUCAUCAUGGCCCUUACGACCAGGGCUACACACGUGCUACAAUGGCAUAUACAAAGAGAAGCGACCUCGCGAGAGCAAGCGGACCUCAUAAAGUAUGUCGUAGUCCGGAUUGGAGUCUGCAACUCGACUCCAUGAAGUCGGAAUCGCUAGUAAUCGUAGAUCAGAAUGCUACGGUGAAUACGUUCCCGGGCCUUGUACACACCGCCCGUCACACCAUGGGAGUGGGUUGCAAAAGAAGUAGGUAGCUUAACCUUCGGGAGGGCGCUUACCACUUUGUGAUUCAUGACUGG